rnacentral:tRNA from 1 species
UAACCUAUUAGUAUAAAAAUUACAUCUAACUUCCAAUUAGAAAAUCUCUUGAUAGAUU